rnacentral:rRNA from 1 species
GGGUAGCUAAGUGCGGAAGAGAUAAGUGCUGAAAGCAUCUAAGCACGAAACUUGCCAAGAGAUGAGUUCUCCCAAUCAAAGAGAUUGUAAGGGUUGUUGUAGACUACGACGUAGAUAGGUCUGGUGUGUAAGUGUAGUGAUGCAUUGAGCUAACAGAUACUAAUUGCCCGAGAGGCUUAACUAUACAACGCUCAAG